CUCAGUAACGGCGAGUGAAGCGGCAACAGCUCAAAUUUGAAAUCUGGCCCUCUCAGGGUCCGAGUUGUAAUUUGUASAAGAUGCUUUGGGUGUGGCUCCGGUCUAAGUUCCUUGGAACAGGACGUCAUAGAGGGUGAGAAUCCCGUAUGUGACUGGUUGCCUUCGCCCGUGUAAAGCUCUUUCGACGAGUCGAGUUGUUUGGGAAUGCAGCUCAAAAUGGGUGGUAAAUUUCAUCUAAAGCUAAAUAUUGGCCAGAGACCGAUAGCGCACAAGUAGAGUGAUCGAAAGAUGAAAAGCACUUUGGAAAGAGAGUUAAACAGUACGUGAAAUUGUUGAAAGGGAAGCGCUUGCAACCAGACUUGCACGCAGUUAAUCAUCUGGUGUUCUCACCGGUGCACUUUUCUGCGUUCAGGCCAGCAUCGGUUUAGGUGGUGGGAUAAAGGCCUUGGGAAUGUAGCUUCUCUCGGGGAGUGUUAUAGCCCUCGGCGCAAUGCCGCCUACCUGGACCGAGGACCGCGCUUCGGCUAGGAUGCUGGCGUAAUGGUUGUAAGCGACCCGUCUUGAAACACGGACCAAGGAGUCUAACAUCUAUGCGAGUGUUUGGGUGUCAAACCCAUACGCGUAAUGAAAGUGAACGGAGGUGAGAACCCUUAAGGGUGCAUCAUCGACCGAUCCUGAUGUCUUCGGAUGGAUUUGAGUAAGAGCAUAGCUGUUGGGACCCGAAAGAUGGUGAACUAUGCCUGAAUAGGGUGAAGCCAGAGGAAACUCUGGUGGAGGCUCGCAGCGGUUCUGACGUGCAAAUCGAUCGUCAAAUUUGGGUAUAG
rnacentral:rRNA from 1 species